UACGGAGGUGGCAAGCGUUGCUCGGAAUCACUGGGCGUAAAGGGCGCGUAGGCGGGGAGGUAAGUCGGGUGUGAAAUCCCUCGGCCCAACCGAGGAACUGCGCCCGAGACUGCUUCUCUUGAGUCCCGGAGAGGAAGAUGGAAUUCCCGGUGUAGCGGUGAAAUGUGUAGAGAUCGGGAGGAACACCGGUGGCGAAGGCGGUCUUCUGGACGGUGACUGACGCUGAGGCGCGAAAGCAUGGGGAGCGAACAGG
rnacentral:rRNA from 1 species